GGCACUGUCGAGGGCUCUUCGGGAUUGGAUCUGAAGCCACCUGAAGAUUCCAUCCAAAUCCUAUUCCGACCCGUCCACGUGGUGCAGGAUGGUAACAUGGGCCCAAGUCCAGUCUUUUGGUUGGCUGAAGGCUCAUGGCUAAGAAGGAGAGG
rnacentral:ribozyme from 1 species